rnacentral:lncRNA from 1 species
AAGGAACAAGAGCAUGUCCUUUGCAGGGACAUGGAUGGAGCUGGAAGCCAUUAUCUUCAGCAAAGUAACACAGGAGCAGGUAUUUACACUAUUCUUAUUCUUGCAAUCCUUCUGUAAAUUUGAAAAGGGCUAAAAAACAAACAAACAAAAAACAAGAACUCCUCUGCCUUAGAUUCAGCAGCCCUGAGGGCGCUGUGGAGAAAGUGUGUGGCAACCACCUCUCACAGCAAUCACGGGGGCAGGGCCUAAUGGGACUGGGCUCCAGCCACAGACACACAGGCACAUACCGGCUCCAGGCCCCUUCUGAGAGCUGGAAGGGCUCUCUCCACCUUCCACCGAAGCAGCAGUUGGUUUACCUUCUACAGAAAAGAAGUCUCCCCAUCAUAUCCCAUGCUGGUCACAUCUUCCCAGAGGGAGACCAGUGGGGACCCUGUUGCACAGGGUGAGAGGGCAGAGAGGCUGAGAGGUUAAUGAACACCCCACACCCCACACCUCUUCAUUCCCCGACACUGUGCCACAAUAAACAAACCUUGACUCCAAAUAAAAAGUACUUGAUUUUAAGUAUGAAAUUCAAUUUAAAAUCACAAGGGUAGAUGCUCUCUUAUUUACAAAAUUUCUCAGCUAAUCCUCAAAACCUCUGUGAGGUAAACCUCUGCCUCUCCCUAUUUUUCAGAGGGGAAACAAGACAAGGACAGUUCCUGUAAACCUGUCUUUGGGCAUAGAGCUAGCAAGUAAAGGAGCCGCAGUUUGAAGCCUGGCUCAGGUAAAAGAUCUCCAGCCAGUGCUUCUCAAAUAACUUUAUUACAUACCAGAGCCACCAGGGGAGCCUGUGGAACUACAGAUUCUGAGUUAGAAAGUCUGGGGUGGAGCCCAAGACUCUUGCUUUCUGGACAAGCUCCAGGUGAUUUCUGAUGCUGCAAGUCUGGCUUUAGAUAACAGCUGCUAAGUUUGCCUGAGGAUGAAAGCUUGAGUAAACUCUGAAUACUGAUGUUACAGGACUCCAGCACUUUCUAACUAUAUACAUUUGAACAUAAGAGACAGAUUUUAUAGCUAAAAAGGUUUGGCUUUUUGUAUAUAUUUCUUAUUGAUACAAAUAUGUGUACAUGUAUAUGGGGGCACAAAUAUGAUACUCUAUCACAUGCUUACACUGUGUAAUGAUCAAAUUAGGGGUUUGGGGCAUCUAUCACCUCGAGUAUUCGUCAUUUCUGUGUGUUGGCAUUAUUCCAAGUCCUCUUUUCUAGCUAUUUUGAAAUCUACAAUACAUUGUUGUUAACUA